UCUUAACUGCCUUCGCUUCGGCGUUGGCUUGUCGAGCGGCUAUGCUUUACGGCAUACCCGUUCUAGUCAAGAAUUCAUAGCAACAUGAGUCUUCGGACUCGCUGUAGGUGUGCUCGUUGAACGUGCAUUGCCGUCGGCUUCAAACCGCUUCAAAUGGUGCGAAGUUGUCGGUCGCUUAUGAUGCGUGUUCGUGUAGCUUGCACCUUGUCUU
rnacentral:misc_RNA from 1 species